rnacentral:lncRNA from 1 species
UCCGAUUCUGCCUAGGCCAAGAAUUCCCAGUGUCUUCCCGUUCAGUUCUGUCCCCCAUUAAAUUCUUCUGGUCUCAUGUGCCAUCUUUCAUCGAAGCCGUUGCCUGGGGAAUCUGCCUGGCUGGGCACAUGAUCAUCCCUCAGGUGAGCUCCGCAGUACUGAGGCUGUUUCCAUUGGGGGUGUUCAUGAGUAAGAUGCCCUUCCUCGUGGCAGCCUCCAGAUUCACAUUGUCCACGCCUGUACCAGCCUUGCCCACCAACUGGAGCUUCCCUGCUGCAUUGAUGGCAUCAGAAGUGAUAAAUAGAAUCUAUCUCACACAAUUAGACGCCAUGAGAUGGGACUGUGGGGAUUUUAAAGCAUUGCUGACUGAACGUCUCCUAUGUGUGUUCCAUGCUUUCUACUGUAUCCCUCUUUAUGUAUACAGAGUGUUCCCCAGUGAAGAACACAGUGCUGUCAUUUGCAGAGACUUAUCCUGUAUUACCUACUACAUUGUGUGUACGACUGUGAGGAUGGCACAGAGGAGACCUUGUGACCUCGGGUUACUGGUGUUUCAUGUAAUGAUCAAGACCUAGUGGAUUAAGUAAGGUUUGGUCAGCUGGAAAACAUGGUUCAGGCUAGACAGAAAGACACCAGCCUUAUGACCUUGUC